CGUGGGGAGCAAACAGGAUUAGAUACCCGGGUAGUCCACGCCCUAAAACGAUGUCAACUAGUUGUUGGGGAUUCAUUUCUUCAGUAACGUAGCUAACGCGUGAAGUUGACCGCCUGGGGAGUACGGUCGCAAGAUUAAAACUCAAAGGAAUUGACGGGGACCCGCACAAGCGGUGGAUGAUGUGGAUUAAUUCGAUGCAACGCGAAAAACCUUACCUACCCUUGACAUGCCACUAACGAAGCAGAGAUGCCUUAGGUGCCCGAAAGGGAAAGUGGACACAGGUGCUGCAUGGCUGUCGUCAGCUCGUGUCGUGAGAUGUUGGGUUAAGUCCCGCAACGAGCGCAACCCUUGUCUCUAGUUGCUACGCAAGAGCACUCUAGAGAGACUGCCGGUGACAAACCGGAGGAAGGUGGGGAUGACGUCAAGUCCUCAUGGCCCUUAUGGGUAGGGCUUCACACGUCAUACAAUGGUGCGUACAGAGGGUUGCCAACCCGCGAGGGGGAGCUAAUCCCAGAAAAGCAAUCGUAGU
rnacentral:rRNA from 1 species